rnacentral:rRNA from 1 species
GCUGGUGUGACACCNNAGACUUACUUUUACUCGCCAGGGUACAACGAGCACCUAGUUAUUUUGCCAAGCUAAUUUACCAUUAAAAUAAUUAAAACUGCUUAAAACCCAAAGGACUUGGCGGUGCUUUAAACCCCCCUAGAGGAGCCUGUUAUAGAAUCGAUACCCCUCGCUAAACCUCACCCUCUCUUGCUUAUUCCGCCUAUAUACCGCCGUCGUCAGUCUACCCCAUGAAGGCACAACAGUGGACUCAAUCGAAAAAACCCAAAACGCCAGGUCAAGGUGUAGCGAAUGAGAGGGGAAUAAAUGGGCUACACUCACUGACUCAGUGGAAACGGAACUCAUACUGAAAACAUGCUUUAAGGAGGAUUUAGUAGUAAGAAGGCAAAAGAGUGCUCUUCUGAAAAAGGCCAUGAAGCGCGCACACACCGCCCCGUCCACCCUCA